rnacentral:lncRNA from 1 species
GGUGAUUAAUUAGCGGGGGAGGGGCAGCGACCGCGACAGGUGCGGGGGGGGAGGGGCGGGAGGGACGGGGAUAAACUGGGAUCAACUGGGGCCAUACUGGGAUGGACUGGGCCAGACUGGGAAUCACUGGGAUCAUACUGGGAGUUACUGGGGCCAUACUGGGGGAUACUGGGGCCAUACUGGGAGUCACUGGGGCCAUACUGGGAGUUACUGGGGCCAUACUGGGAAUCACUGGGAUCAUACUGGGGCCAUACUGGGAUGGACUGGGCCAGACUGGGAGUCACGGGGGCCAUACUGGGAGUCACUGGGAUCAUACUGGGGGACACUGGGAUCAUACUGGUUCAUACUGGGAUGGACUGGCCCAUACUGGGGGAUACUGGGGCCAUGGUGGGAGUCACUGGAACCAUACUGGGAAUCACUGGGGCCUUACUGGGAUGGACUGGGCCAGACUGGGACCAUACUGGGGGAUACUGGGAGUCACGGGGGCCAUACUGGGAGUCACUGGGAGUUACUGGGGCCAUACUGGGAUCAUACUGGGAGUUACUGGGAUCAUACUGGGAGUCACAGGGGCCAUACUGGGAAUCACUGGGGCCAUACUGGGAGUCACUGGGAUCAUACUGGGAGUUACUGGGGCCAUACUGGGAGUAACUGGGAGUUACUGGGGCUGUACUGGGAAUUGCUGGGGCCUUACUGGGACGGACUGGGCCAGACUGGGACCAUACUGGGGGAUACUGGGAGUCAUGGGGGCCAUACUGGGAGUCACUGGGAGUUACUGGGGCCAUACUGGGAAUCACUGGGGCCAUACUGGGAAUCACUGGGAGUUACUGGGGCCAUACUGGGAAUCACUGGGGCCAUACUGGGAAUCACUGGGAGUUACUGGGGCCAUACUGGGAUCAUACUGGGGAAUACUGGGGCCAUACUGGGAAUCACUGGGAUCAUACUGGGGGACACUGGGAUCAUACUGGGGGACACUGGGGCCAUACUGGGAGUUACUGGGGCCAUACUGGGAGUUACUGGGGCCAUACUGGGAAUCACUGGGGCCAUACUGGGAGUCACUGGGGCCAUACUGGGAAUCACUGGGAUCAUACUGGGAAUCACUGGGGCCAUACUGGGAAUCACUGGGAUCAUACUGGGAUCAUACUGGGAUCAUACUGGGACCAUACUGGGAGUCACUGGGAUCAUACUGGGACCAUACUGGUACCAUAC